GACGUAGGAGGCGAGCGUUGUCCGGAUUUACUGGGCGUAAAGCGCGCGCAGGCGGCGGUGCUGGCCCGGCGUGAAAGCCCCCCGGCUCAACCGGGGGAGGGUCGUCGGGGACCGCACCGCUUGAGGGCGGUAGGGGCUGGUGGAAUGCCUGGUGUAGUGGUGAAAUGCGUAGAGAUCAGGCGGAACACCCGUGGCGAAGGCGGCCAGCUGGGCCGUCCCUGACGCUGAGGCGCGAAGGCGUGGGGAGCGAACGGG
rnacentral:rRNA from 1 species